rnacentral:rRNA from 1 species
GAUGAACGCUGGCGGCGUGCUUAAUACAUGCAAGUCGAACGGAAAGGCUCCUGCUUGCAGGGGUACUCGAGUGGCGAACGGGUGAGUAACACGUGGGUGAUCUGCCCUGCACUUCGGGAUAAGCCUGGGAAACUGGGUCUAAUACCGGAUAGGACCACAUUUUGGAUGGUGUGGUGGAAAGUUUUUCGGUGUGGGAUGAGCUCGCGGCCUAUCAGCUUGUUGGUGGGGUAAUGGCCUACCAAGGCGUCGACGGGUAGCCGGCCUGAGAGGGUGUACGGCCACAUUGGGACUGAGAUACGGCCCAGACUCCUACGGGAGGCAGCAGUGGGGAAUAUUGCACAAUGGGCGCAAGCCUGAUGCAGCGACGCCGCGUGGGGGAUGACGGCCUUCGGGUUGUAAACUCCUUUCGCUAGGGACGAAGCGCAAGUGACGGUACCUGGCGAAGAAGCACCGGCUAACUACGUG